UACGUAGGGCGCAAGCGUUGUCCGGAAUUAUUGGGCGUAAAGAGCUCGUAGGCGGCUUGUCACGUCGGGUGUGAAAGCCCGGGGCUUAACCCCGGGUCUGCAUUCGAUACGGGCUAGCUAGAGUGUGGUAGGGGUGAUCGGAAUUCCUGGUGUAGCGGUGAAAUGCGCAGAUAUCAGGAGGAACACCGGUGGCGAAGGCGGAUCUCUGGGCCAUUACUGACGCUGAGGAGCGAAAGCGUGGGGAGCGAACAGG
rnacentral:rRNA from 1 species